rnacentral:rRNA from 1 species
UACGGAGGGUGCAAGCAUUAAUCGGAAUUAUUGGGCGUAAAGGGCGCGUAGGCGGAUUGGUAAGUCAGAUGUGAAAUUUCGGGGCUCAACCUCGAAGCUGCAUUUGAAACUACCUUUCUCAGAGGAUUGACGGAGAAAACGGAAUUCCACGUGUAGCGGUGAAAUGCGUAGAUAUGUGGAAGAACACCUGUGGCGAAAGCGGUUUUCUAGUUUAUUCCUGACGCUGAGGCGCGAGAGCUAGGGUAGCAAACAGGAUUAGAUACCCUGGUAGUCCUAGCCGUAAACGAUGUAUACUUGAUGUAACUGGGCUCAACCCCGGUUGUAUCGGAGCUAACGCGUUAAGUAUACCGCCUGAGGAGUACGCUCGCAAGGGUGAAACUCAAAAGAAUUGACGGGGGCCCGCACAAGCAGUGGAGUAUGUGGUUUAAUUCGAUGCAACGCGAAGAACCUUACCCAGGCUCGAAAUGUAGCGGACGGUUACAGAGAUGUAACUUCUCGUAUGAGCUGCUAUAUAGGUGCUGCAUGGCUGUCGUCAGCUCGUGCCGUGAGGUGUUGGGUUAAGUCCCGCAACGAGCGCAACCCUUAUCACUAGUUGCCAACAUUUAAGAUGGGAACUCUAGUGAGGCUGCCUAGGUUAACUAGGAGGAAGGUGAGGAUGAUGUCAAGUCCGCAUGGCCUUUAUGUCUGGGGCUACACACGUACUACAAUGGCCGGUACAGAAGGCUGCAAGACCGCGAGGUGGAGCAAAUCCUAAAAAGCCGGUCCCAGUUCGGAUUGAAGUCUGCAACUCGACUUCAUGAAGUUGGAAUUGCUAGUAAUGGCGUGUCAGCAAUAACGCCGUGAAUACGUUCCCGGGCCU